UUAGAAUCCAAGGAAGUUGACAUGUCAUCACUUCAUUUUUUUGCGCCUGCGCAUAAAUCUGAGAAACGUGAGUUUUGUCUUCAUUGUUUAUCUCGACAUAGGAUAGGUUGUGUGAAAAUAUUACUGAUGUUUAACGUUAAAAAUGGACCAAAAGAUUAAUGCUAAACAACAUUUGACAUGUUUGAACGAACAUAAAUAGAUUAUUUACUCGUUUUUUUUUAGCUUUUCGGCGUGAUUUUACAGUCCCCCACCACGUUUUGUGGGAGCAUAAUGAACGCUAAGUACUUGGUGUUAUUUGGACAUAAAUUAUGAACUUUGUCAAAAGAAACCACAUUUGUUCCGGACCUGGGAUGCCUUCCGGACCUGGGAUGCCUGUCUUCUGAUGGAGAUAAUCAAAGGACAAUGACCCAACACACCUUCAGUGAUGGAGUGCUGCAUCAGAUGACCUGGCCUCCACAAUCACCCGACCUGAACCCAAUUUAAAUGGUUUGGGAUGAGUUGGACUGCAGAAUGAAGGACAAGCAGCCAACAAGUGCUCAGCAUAUGUGGGUACUCCUUCAAGACUGUUGGAAAAGCAUUCCAGGUGAAGCUGGUUGAGCGCAAACGGUGGCUACUUGGAAGGAUCUAAAAUAAAUAACUGUUUGGCCAUAAUGACCAUUGUGACGUUUGGAGGAAGAAGGGGGAGGCUUGCAAGCCAGAGAACACCAUCCCAAAUUUGAAGCACGGGGUGGCGGCAUCAUGUUGUGGGGGUGCUUUGCUGCAGGAGGGACUGGUGCACUUCACAAAAAUAGAUGGCAUCAUGAGGACCUGAGCCCUAGGACCAUGCCUCAGGACUACCUGGUAUGAUGACUUCUUGCUGUCCCCAGUCCACCUGGCCGUGCUGCUGCUCCAGUUUCAACUGUUCUGCCUGCGGCUAUGGAACCCUGACCUGUUCACCGGACGUGCUUGUUGCACCCUCGACAACUACUAUGAUUAUUAUUAUUUGACCAUGCUGGUCAUUUAUGAACAUUUUAACAUUUUAACAUCUUGACCAUGUUCUGUUAUAAUAUCCACCCUGCACAGCCAGAAGAGGACUGGCCACCCCUCAUAGCCUGGUUCCGCUCUAGGUUUCUUCCUAGGUUUUUGGCCUUUCUAGGGAGUUUUUCCUAGGGAGUUUUUCCUAGCCACCGUGCUUCUUUCACAUGCUUUGCUUGCUGUUUGGGGUUUUAGGCUGGGUUUCUGUACAGCACUUUGAGAAUAUCAGCUGAUGUACGAAGGGCUAUAUAAAAAUAAAUUUGAUUUGGAGUUUUUCUUUGCACUUGCAAUAUAGUCUUGCAAAACUCUGCAUGCAGUACUUCGAUUGGCUGUUUGUCUCAUUUGGUAAAUUCAUUAUUAGAGAAUGGACCCCAUACUUCGCUGCCAUAUAGACCAAUUGGUUCUAUAACUGAUCUGAAAAUUUAGCCAGAUUUUAAUUGGAAUUUUAAUUUUAAUGUUCCUUUUAAUGGCAUAGAAUGCUCUUCUUGCUUUGUCUCUCAGAUCGUAC
rnacentral:lncRNA from 1 species